rnacentral:rRNA from 1 species
GGGUUGUGAGGUUAAGCGACUAAGCGUACACGGUGGAUGCCCUGGCAGUCAGAGGCGAUGAAGGACGUGCUAAUCUGCGAUAAGCGUCGGUAAGGUGAUAUGAACCGUUAUAACCGGCGAUUUCCGAAUGGGGAAACCCAGUGUGAUUCGUCACACUAUCGUUAAGUGAAUACAUAGCUUAACGAAGCGAACCGGGGGAACUGAAACAUCUAAGUACCCCGAGGAAAAGAAAUCAACCGAGAUUCCCCCAGUAGCGGCGAGCGAACGGGGAGCAGCCCAGAGUCUGAAUCAGCAUGUGUGUUAGUGGAAGCGUCUGGAAAGUCGCAGGGUACAGGGUGAUACUCCCGUACACUAAAACGCACAGGCUGUGAACUCGAAGAGUAGGGCGGGACACGUGGUAUCCUGUCUGAAUAUGGGGGGACCAUCCUCCAAGGCUAAAUACUCCUGACUGACCGAUAGUGAACCAGUACCGUGAGGGAAAGGCGAAAAGAACCCCGGCGAGGGGAGUGAAAAAGAACCUGAAACCGUGUACGUACAAGCAGUAGGAGCCCACUAGAUGGGUGACUGCGUACCUUUUGUAUAAUGUGUCAGCGACUUAUAUUCUGUAGCAAGGUUAACCGUAUAGGGGAGCCGCAGGGAAACCGAGUCUUAACUGGGCGUUAAGUUGCAGGGUAUAGACCCGAAACCCGGUGAUCUAGCCAUGGGCAGGUUGAAGGUUGGGUAACACUAACUGGAGGACCGAACCGACUAAUGUUGAAAAAUUAGCGGAUGACUUGUGGCUGGGGGUGAAAGGCCAAUCAAACCGGGAGAUAGCUGGUUCUCCCCCAAAGCUAUUUAGGUAGCGCCUCGUGAACUCAUCUUCGGGGGUAGAGCACUGU